rnacentral:lncRNA from 1 species
AUAUUUUAGGUAUACAGGUUGUCAUGUGAUCCCUAAAAUCACUCUAACAAGAUUAUACUAACCAAGAAAACUAAUAUAGGUUGACACAUAAUCAUGCUGAUAAAGAAAAAUAUUAUGAGUGAUGCAGGUUAUUACAUGAUCCCUAAAAUUAUUCUAACAUCUCCCCUCAAACUCAAAAUGGUACUAUACGUGCUAACUUAAGUUUGAAAACUGUAUUACGAAUGUAUCGAAAAACUGACGUACUAGAUGAUCAAGAGCUUGAAUAGUAGCUCAAAAGGGAAUAUAGUAGAUUAGGAGUUGACAUAACAACUAAAAAACUGAUAUGGCAAACUGAUUUGUUGGACUCACGUGAUAGACUAACAUGUCUGUCGAU